AGCAGCCGCGGUAAUUCCAGCUCCAAUAGCGUAUAUUAAAGUUGUUGCAGUUAAAAAGCUCGUAGUUGAAUUUCGGGAUUGGCGCAUCGGUCGUGCCUCACGGGGUAUGAACUGGUGCAGUCAAUUUCUCACCUUCUGGAGAACCGCGAUGUCCUUAAUUGGAUGCCGCGGGGAACCAGGACCUUUACUUUGAAAAAUUAGAGUGUUUAAAGCAGGCAUUUUUGCUUGAAUACAUUAGCAUGGAAUAAUAAAAUAGGACGGCAUGGUUCUAUUUUGUUGGUUUCUAGGACCACCGUAAUGAUUAAUAGGGAUAGUUGGGGGCAUUAGUAUUCAAUUGUCAGAGGUGAAAUUCUUGGAUUUAUUGAAGACUAACUACUGCGAAAGCAUUUGCCAAGGAUGUUUUCAUUAAUCAAGAACGAAAGUUAGGGGAUCGAAGACGAUCAGAUACCGUCGUAGUCUUAACCAUAAACUAUGCCGACUAGGAAUCAGACGAUGUUAAUUUUUUAAUUGACUCGUUUGG
rnacentral:misc_RNA from 1 species